AGAGUUGAUCAUGGCUCAGGAUGAACGCUAGCGACAGGCUAACACAUGCAAGUCGAGGGGCAGCAUAAAAGUAGCAAUACUUGGUGGCGACCGGCGCACGGGUGAGUAACGCGUAUGCAACCUACCUAUCAGGAGGGGAAUAACCCGGCGAAAGUCGGACUAAUACCGCAUAAAACAGGGGCACCGCAUGGUGAUAUUUGUUAAAGAAAUUCGCUGAUAGAUGGGCAUGCGUUCCAUUAGGUAGUUGGUGAGGUAACGGCUCACCAAGCCGACGAUGGAUAGGGAACUGAGAGGUUGGUCCCCCACACUGGUACUGAGACACGGACCAGACUCCUACGGGAGGCAGCAGUGAGGAAUAUUGGUCAAUGGGCGGGAGCCUGAACCAGCCAAGUCGCGUGAAGGAAGAAGGAUCUAUGGUUCGUAAACUUCUUUUGCAGGGGAAUAAAGUGCAGGACGUGUCCUGUUUUGUAUGUACCCUGAGAAUAAGGAUCGGCUAACUCCGUGCCAGCCGCCGC
rnacentral:rRNA from 1 species